rnacentral:ncRNA from 13 species
CUGUGAUGCCCUCUAGGAUAGUGUAAAGAGUCUAAAUAGCUCCGCCCAGCGACGUUUGAUUCUCGCCUAGCGAGUUCUUCGAACGAGUCGAUCCCGAAUGAGCGCCUACAUCGGGCUCCUGGGGUGAUCCAGAGACUAGACGGAGGCGACGUCUCGCGGGGCUGGCCUUCAGACAUAGUCCAACGCAACGGCCGGGAUGUAAGUGUUAGAUGUUCUGGGCC